GAUCCNUCGCCCAGCAGCUCCAUCAGACGCCGGCGGCCGAUCGCGCUGACAGCUCUGUCCAGGUCCAGAAGAGCUCUGCUGUUGUCCCGAGGAAAUCCUACGUGCCCAGCAGCCGUGGCGAGUAUGUCAUUGCCAAGCUCGAUGACCUGGUCAACUGGGCACGGCGGAGCUCCCUUGGCCGA